rnacentral:rRNA from 1 species
GACGAACGCUGGCGGCGUGCUUAACACAUGCAAGUCGAACGGGCCUUGUCCCCUUUUUUUUUGGGGGUGGGGUUAGUGGCGAACGGGUGAGUAACACGUGAGUAACCUGCCCCUCACUUCUGGAUAACCGCUUGAAAGGGUGGCUAAUACGGGGUGUUCUGGCCUGCUCGCAUGGGUGGGUUUGGAAAGAUUCGACCGGUUUUGGUUGUUUUGGGGGGGGAUGGGCUCGCGGCCUAUCAGCUUGUUGGUGGGGUGAUGGCCUGCCAAGGCUUUGACGGGUAGCGGGCCUGAGAGGGUGGGCGGUCACACUGGGACUGAGACACGGCCCAGACUCCUACGGGAGGCAGCAGUGGGGAAUAUUGCACGAUGGGCGCAAGCCUGAUGCAGCGACGCCGCGUGAGGGAUGGAGGCCUUCGGGUUGUGAACCUCUUUCGCCAGUGAAGAAGGUCCUGCUCUUUGUGGUGGGGUUGACGGUAGCUGGGUUAAUGAAGCGCCGGCUAACUACGUG